GAGUGAUCGAAAGAUGAAAAGCACUUUGAAAAGAGAGUUAAACAGUAUGUGAAAUUGUUGAAAGGGAAGCGCUUACAACCAGACUUGCGCGCGGCGGUUCCCCCUUCCUUUUGGUUGGGCUACUCCGUCGUGUCCAGGCCAACAUCGGUUCUGGGGGUCGGUUAAAGACCUUGGGAAUGUACCUACCCUUCGGGCGUAGACUUAUAGCCCAGGGUGUCAUGCGACCUCCCGGGACCGAGGAACGCGCUUCGGCUCGGAUGUUGGCGUAAUGGUUGUCAGCGACCC
rnacentral:rRNA from 1 species